GUUAAUUACCCAAAGUUCGCGUGAUAUAAUAUCUGCCCGAGUCUUUUCUUCCCUUGUCCUAAAAUCGCUGACACUUCACCACUCCCGCCGAUCUCAAUGGAGCACACCACACCGGCGAUCCCAAGGGGGGGGGGGGGGCAUUGAGAUCGAACGGCAAGACCUCCAACGACCUUACCGGUCGUGCUAACACCGCGCGAGGGUUUCUUGAGGCGGCACGAGGAGGGGGGAAAGCGAGGGAAAGGCAAGUACUUCCCCUAUGUUGUUAUGAGAUACAUGAGGUGAGGGCGUCUACCAAGAUAUGAUGGAACACAUGUGAACGGAGUAGACGAGGAGGCGAGAUGAACGCAUGGCACUAUCCGGAUGUCUUAGGAGUGCAGAGCAUACCUGUUUCCUGGUGACAGCUUCUUCAUUUGUAUAGGGAGAUGUUUGGGGAUUCAUUGAUCCUUUCCGUUAAUCUCUUAUUUGAGAUGCUGUCAUUUACAUUAGAUAAGAUGGAUCGUUUCAAUGGAAUUGUUACUACAAUUAUCUACAUAGCAGAUGUCGAGAGGGUUAUUAAAAAAAACUUGUGGGAUAAUCUAGGGAUGUUUCACAAACAAUUCUGUAUGAUAAGUAAGGUAAGUCACUGGAGGAGAGUGUUCCAGUGAGGACGAGUCAUAUUUGGGGUUCUUUAGGCGCAGGUCCAAUUUAUGUCCAUUUUGGAAACCUAAAUUGAAACCGUGAUUAGAUCCUAGUCUCAGGAAAACAAAAUCUAAUUAAUACUGUUAUUUUAUUAUGGUGCUAACUUCGUCUUGUAGGGUAUACUUUGUUUUGUUCAACUAACACAUUUUGCAAGGUGAAAGGAGUACAAAAUACCUUGGGUGAACAGUAUUCGAGGUGUCUUCCAUGCGAAAGAAGCGCCUUUAGUUGGGCGAUGGAAGGUGCUUUGAAGAGUUUUGAAGGCGCCUUGGGUCGAAUAAGGCAGAAGGCUUCGUCGACGAUAAGAGACAAAUUUUUAGGGAUAAAACCUUGGGGUUGAAGACGUCUUCCAUUGGCUUGAAGGCGUCUUCAAUGCUCAAUAAAAGGGCUACUCGACCAAGGCUUCAAACACACUUCUUCUACGAGCUUCUACGCAAUCAUGCAACGUUUCGACUACUCCAACUUCGUGCUGUUAUUCUCUACAACCCUGCUAUGUUUGACUAUUACAGAUAGACUGCCACCAACACACGAACGCUCUCACUUUGAUAUCUUUGUGUUGGUAACUUGUUUUACAGUUAUACUUAUUAUACAUAUCAACAAAAGGAAUGUGUAUGAUUGUUACACUUUCCUAUCUUAUUUCUUUAUAUUUGAUCACUCUUCCGACGGUUCCGGAAGAGGAGUUAGUGGAUUAUCCAUUGAUAGGUUUAAA